UGCUGAUCUCGGACACCUCCUCGCCUGCCGGUUCUUGGCACGCCGCUUUGCUGCUGCUCUUCAUGCCUGAACGAUCGCAAGAACACCAACCACUCUCACCACUCAGGUUUCUGCCUCAGCUGCAUCCAGAAUCAGACAGAACAACUCAGCUCUCAGCUCAAGCAAACAAACAUUAUGUAGGAGUAUGUGAGAUGUGAGUGGCAAGAUGCUCUGAAAUCAAGAUUAUUCUCUGAACAAGACAGGGCAAUGUCUGUAGUAGUCUCAUCUGCACUCAUUGACUGUAUCACCAAUAUAGCGGAUAUAUGUCACAGCUGAGUGGAGAAGAAUAGAAUAACAUGCAGUAUUCUUCUUGUCAGUGUGGUGGUGAUCAUGAGUUCAUGACAAACUGAAUAACUAGAGAUGGACAGUGUCUGCAGUUAGACAGUUUGUAGAUAAGACCAUGGAGCCCUGAACUGAGAGCAAGUUACUAACUCCAAUUCAUCUGUAGUCAAUCUAAUAGCUAAUUUAUAUAAUAGUUAGCUAUAAUACAUAUUAUCACAUGUUAUGCGCUGCAGCUGGCUGCAAAUUAGUAGCUCACUUCUCUCUUCUCUCUUAUCUCUUUAAAAUAUGUUUAUAGUUGGCUUAUAGUUUCCUAUUGUACAUGCUCUGAUACUUCUUGGCUGAAAUUAGACGAAUGUCUCUUUGUUUAUCCAAAUUAAUAUGUAGACUGUCCAUUGAGCACGACACAUGAAUGCUAAUUAAAGAUAAUAGUGUUAAAGAAAACACCUGAAAAUAUUGAGCUGAAGAGUAGGUAUGACAAACG
rnacentral:lncRNA from 1 species